GGGGAGAGGGGAGAGGGAGCAAAUUAACUUAUGUGCUUUUGGGAUAAGUUGUUAUAUAUGUGUUUUGCAUAUAUGUCCACAUCUUCAUUUUCUACAGAUUUAGCAACAAUGAAUUUUAUUUUGUUUUUAAAAAGGCUAACUAGAAAAUGGAAUGAGUCCUGUAAUACGUAUUCAAAUAACUCCUUUUGUUCUCUAUCCAACCAGUGCAUUAUUUUUACUAGGUAAAAAACUCUGAUUCUGUCACCAUUUCUUUGUGAAGUAUUAGUCUUACAGCUGUCACAUGAACUUAGUGUCAACACAAACACAGCGGCUGUUUCUUAUCGUCUUUUUGGAAAUAUCAUCUGGUGGAUUAAUGAGUCUCUGGUCUGGAUUGAUAGUUUGUGUCUUCUUUCAAGCUCUUUUCUAUCUGGUGUACAUCUUGAGGAUAAACUGGAACAAAGUUGUGGAGCAGCUAACAGUCAGUGUAUUAUUUUAGAAACAUGGCUCUACUUAAUCCCAUGGCAUGGCACAGGUUCAAGCUGGACUAAAAGGGAAUAAAGAGACCAUGCCUACCUCCUCAGAUAUACCUGUCCUGGGAAGAGAAAUAACUGAUGGAAUCAUUUUGCCUGAUAUCAUCAGACCAGAGAGCCAGACCCCUCAACUGAUGAGAGCAGAAGAAAACACCCAGUAUGCAAUGUCCACCGCUGGAGAGGUCCUGACAGUGAGGCAGCUGAUAUUCCAUCGUGGAGUGGCUUUAGCUCUUGCUGUCACUCUCCUUUCAGCAGGAAUUUUCAUUAAGAGUUUCAGUGGCCAUGGCUAAAAUGGUAGAAUCACCACCAUUCCACAAACUAGAGAUGAUCAUCAUAUGCCAUAUGUUAAGUAUGAAAGGUGACCUUGUUAUUUGGACAGUGUUUACUCUUAACUGUGGAUGGAAAGUAUAUCAGGGAUGUUUCCUUGGUUAUUCCAAGGAAUUGCACUAUCCUAUUGGAGAUCAAGAAAGGGGCUAUAAUUUUAAGUAAACUUUUCCCUGUUAAUUUUAUCAUGGUUUCUAAAUAUAUAAAUUAGAUUUUCCUUGAUGUAAAGGUUACUUACUCUUCCUUACUUCAAACUUCUUUCUUCUCCUGGGGAGUGGUUCAUAGUCCUGUUAAAUAUUAUUGCUGAUCUAGUUUUCUCUGUAUUUCUCUAUGAAUGUACUUAAUCUUGUCAGUGAGUGUAUAUUAAGUGCUUGUUCAAGUCCUAUCUCAGGUAUUGUCAUAUAAGCUUUUAUAAAAUGGAACCUCUUAAAAUUUACAAUGUAUACUGACAAUAUUUGGAGCUAUACAGUCAAUAUAAAAGAUUAACUUUUAGCAUUUUUGCCUUUUAAUUAAUUUUGUGGCAACUGUCAUUAAAAGUAGAAAAUAAAUCUGUGUUCUCUUCUGCUACUCAGCUCCCAGAAUGCUGGCAGCUAUGGUGGCCUCAUCCUCAAAGCAAAA